rnacentral:rRNA from 1 species
UGGGGAAUCUUGCACAAUGGGGGCAACCCUGAUGCAGCGACGCCGCGUGAGCGAUGAAGCCCUUCGGGGCGUAAAGCUCUUUCGACCGGAACGAUAAUGACGGUACCGUAAGAAGAAGCACCGGCUAACUACGUGCCAGCAGCCGCGGUAAUACGUAGGGUGCGAGCGUUAAUCGGAAUUACUGGGCGUAAAGCGUGCGCAGGCGGUUUUGUAAGACAGAUGUGAAAUCCCCGGGCUUAACCCGGGAACUGCGUUUGUGACUGCAAGGCUGGAGUACGGCAGAGGGGGGUGGAAUUCCACGUGUAGCAGUGAAAUGCGUAGAGAUGUGGAGGAACACCGAUGGCGAAGGCAGCCCCCUGGGCCUGUACUGACGCUCAUGCACGAAAGCGUGGGGAGCAAACA